CUACGGGUUGCACCAGUGAGGAAUAUUGCACAAUGGGGGGAACCCUGAUGCAGCAACGCCGCGUGGAGGAUGACGCAUUUCGGUGUGUAAACUCCUUUUAUAUGUCAAGAAAAUGACGGUAGCAUAUGAAUAAGCACCGGCUAACUCCGUGCCAGCAGCCGCGGUAAUACGGAGGGUGCAAGCGUUACUCGGAAUCACUGGGCGUAAAGGACGCGUAGGCGGGCCUGUAAGUCAGGUGUGAAAUCCUACAGCUUAACUGUAGAACUGCACUUGAAACUACGAGCCUAGAGUAUGGGAGGGGGAGAUGGAAUUAGUGGUGUAGGGGUAAAAUCCGUAGAUAUCACUAGGAAUACCUAAAGCGAAGGCGAUUUCCUGGAACAUAACUGACGCUAAGGCGUGAAAGCGUGGGGAGCAAACAGGAUUAGAUACCCCCGUAGUC
rnacentral:rRNA from 1 species